CAUCUCUGUCACCUUCGAUUGGGCUAAAAGAGGCCCAAUCCGCUAUCUCAAACAUCCAUUGGGACGCGGAAACUUCGCUCAGAGAAGUAUUAACAGGCGAUUGGUGAUGGAAAAACUUAAUCUGUUUCUAGAUGAGAGAGAAGAAGGCAACGACUCUUUCCAAGUGCUCUGGAGGGGCAGCUCAAAGCACUUUAAUCUUUGAUGAAUGCGAUUGAACUCUUUCCACUACUCAGGGAAAGAUAGAAGUGCUCACAAGGGCUCAUCCUGUGCUGGCUCUCUGCCACC
rnacentral:lncRNA from 1 species